AUUGAACGCUGGCGGAAUGCUUUACACAUGCAAGUCGAACGGCAGCACGGACUUCGGUCUGGUGGCGAGUGGCGAACGGGUGAGUAACAUAUCGGAACGUGCCCAGUCGUGGGGGAUAACGUAGUGAAAAUUACGCUAAUACCGCAUACGAUCUACGGAUGAAAGCGGGGGAUCGCAAGACCUCGCGCGAUUGGAGCGGCCGAUAUCAGAUUAGGUAGUUGGUGAGGUAAAGGCUCACCAAGCCGACGAUCUGUAGCUGGUCUGAGAGGACGACCAGCCACACUGGAACUGAGACACGGUCCAGACUCCUACGGGAGGCAGCAGUGGGGAAUUUUGGACAAUGGACGCAAGUCUGAUCCAGCCAUUCCGCGUGCAGGACGAAGGCCUUCGGGUUGUAAACUGCUUUUGUACAGAACGAAAAGGUUUCUAUUAAUACUAGGGGCUCAUGACGGUACUGUAAGAAUAAGCACCGGCUAACUACGUG
rnacentral:rRNA from 1 species